GACGAACCGUGCGAACGUUGUUCGGAAUCACUGGGCUUAAAGGGCGCGUAGGCGGGCUGCCAAGUCCGGGGUGAAAUCCUCCGGCUCAACCGGAGAACGGCCCCGGAUACUGGCGGCCUCGAGGGGGGUAGGGGCAUGCGGAACUCUGGGUGGAGCGGUGAAAUGCGUAGAGAUUGGGAAGAACAUCGGUGGCGAAAGCGCUCUACUGGACCUCAUCUGACACUCAGGGACGAAAGCUAGGGGAGCGAAUGGG
rnacentral:rRNA from 1 species